CGGAGCGGCGGGAUGCGGCGCUGGCGGGGCGCGGGGCUGGCGGCGCUGGCCGCGGUGCUGCUCGUGGCUGCAGGCAGAGCCCAGGUGCAACAGGAGCCGUUGGCACAAACCCCCGAGGGCACCGAAAUCACCAUCAACUGCUCACACCCGACCAUACGGACCAGUGACUAUAUCCACUGGUACCGUCAGCUCCGGGGCCGCGGCCCCGAAUUCCUCGUGAGCAUUCACAAAGGCUCCAGAGAUCUGCCGGACAAGGCGGGUCAGGUGUCGGUGUCGCCAGACCGUCGCUGGAGCACCCUCUGUCUCUCCGGGCCCCGUGUUGGGGACGCGGCGGUGUAUUACUGCGCCGUGGGAGACACGGCCAGAGGAGCCGGGGCUGCGGCCGGGCACGAACCGCCGCGGGCGGGGCCGGGCGGGGCCGGGGGCACAGCGCCGGCCGGGGCCAGCAGGGGCCGCUCCUGCACCUCCAAGAUUUCUUUCUCAAACCAUGUCCCGCCUUCCUGGGCCCCCUUGUUUCAAAGGGCUGCUUUCCAAGGGGCUUUCCGAAUCGGUGUCCUCAACAGGCCCAAGUCCAACCUCCAGAAGUCGAGGCAGGUCUAGGUGCUGUAUAAACUACUCCACGAUCAAAAGGGGCUUCAGACUCACCUGGUUCCUAAGCAGAAGGAGAUAAGAGAAGUGGAUGAGACAGCAGGGGCUGGGGCUGCCUUUUCUACCUGCCCUUCACUACCGCAGUACCAGGGGCAGCCUUUGCAGAGGUAACAGUUUCUUCACAAGCUCCUCUUGAAUGCAAACCAUCACAGCUGAUGGUACAGACUGUGCUUUGGUUUCCAAACUGCUGCCAUUUCGUUUCCAGAUUUCUUCCAUGCCCAUGCCUCAGUGAAGGCUUCUUGUGAUUUUUGGGAUGAAAUGUUCCAGGAUUUCCAGGGCAAUGGAGUCGUAAAUGUCAGGAGCACACUCAGCUCCAGGACUGAAUGGAUCCGGAGCAGGCAAGUGAUGUGUCAGUCUGGAUCACACUGGUGGGCUUGUUUGAAGUGCUGUUUUCAAGAAGAAGCUGCAGCAAUCCUCCAUGGCUACCUAAGGACUCCUGGGCAUGAGGAUGGGCCAUGUCAUAAGACAUGUAGUGGCUGCCAAGAGAAGGUUUCACCAGUCACAAGGGAUGAGAUGUACAUGUUACAGCAUCCUCUCCCCCAGACUGGCAGCCAACUCCUCAGCACAAACCCUCUGUGGGGAGCAAGGAAGCAGUGAAGAGCUCUGCACCCACCUGCAGCUCUACUGGGAAGUGCAAUCCCACAAUCCUUGUCCUUGCUGAUGUGCCCGUUCUCCUGUAGGUUCAGUGUCACAGGGAUGUCACCUCCCACAGUAUUUCACUGUCUCCCUGUCCCCACUCGCUGUGACAGCCCUCAGCUGCCCUCCCCUGCUUUGCUGCAAUUUCCAGCCUUGACUCAUUCAGCAGCCAAAGGAUGGUUCCCCUCAACAGAGGAGCCAUUGCAGGCUGUCCCAACCUCCCAUUCCUCUGUCAGUGGAGAAGGCUCUCCUUGUGCCAUCACCCACUUCCACUGCUGAGAAACUCCUUUCCACUUUGACAGCUUGGAGAGUGUCUGCAGGGGUGGGAAAGCCAACACGGAGGCCAGGCUUGAAUUCAGCAGAAAGAUGUGAGGAGUCAAAAGAGGGAAAGGACAUCCCUGCAUGUGGAGGACAGCAGUGCAGGGAGCCCGGGGGCAUCUGAGAGUCUGUCCUCCUUGGUGGAGGAGAAGUUCCUGCACAGUGCCUGUCUGCCUGUCCCUUAGAGGGAGAGGAGACAGAUGGUCCCCACCAGGCUGACCAUGGUGGGACCUUGCUGCCAAGGGGAAGCAAAGCAAACAAAGAAAAGGGAAAGGCAAAGCCAUUCACCUCUCCUGGUACCAACAUGGAAAAAUGUCCAUCCUCACUCAGCCCAGCACCAUGUUCUGAGUCCCCUGAGGUGUCUCCCUGGGGCUUUCCCAGUAUCUUCUUCAGGGGAGGGACCUUCUGCACCAGUAGGGUCUGGAAAGGCCAGAGAGGUCACAGCCCCCAGAGCUGAUGGGCACUCCCUGAGAGCUGAGGAUGCUGCCAACAGCAAUGGAGGUGGAGCAGUGGGGAGCUGGAGGUUCGGCCAGGGAACACACACCCUUCCUCAUUUCCCUAUUAUGAUCAGGCUGCCACAGAGAAGCUCUAUCCUAUAUUCCUAAACCAAUAGUCCUCUCAGUUACAUCCCAACCACCCUCCAGUGAGACUUUCUCCUCAUUUCCCUCUGUCAUGACAAGAAGAACAAAACCACGGGACAGGACACGGUCAGAAUCAGCUGAGAUGUCCCACAGGUGGAGAUCUCACUGUGGAAGAGGAGGAGAAGGGGCUUCAGACUCACCUGGUUCCCAAGCAGAAGGAGAUAAGAGAAGUGGAUGAGACAGCAGGGGCUGGGGUUGCCUUUUCUACCUGCCCUUCACUGCCCAAGGACCAGGGGCAGCCUUUGCAGAGCAGUGGCUGUGGGCAGAGUCCAGGUACUGCAGGACCCAUCGACAGAGACCAUCAAGGGCAUCGGUAUAUCUAUCAACUGCUCCCACCCCAAAAUCCAGUUCAAUGAGUACAUCUACUGGUACCGUCAGCUCCCUGGCCGAGAACCCACACUCCUCAUGAGCGGUCAGAAAGGGUUCAGAGAGAUGCCGGACCCUCCUGGGUGGCUGUCAGUGUCGCCAGACCGUCGCUGGAGCACCCUCUGUCUCUCCGGGCCCCGUGUUGGGGACGCGGCGGUG